AGUAAUUAUCUGAUACACGGUAGUACCGAUAAAUCUAAAUUAUAUGAAUUGGCUAAGUUUAAUGACUUCUCUUUAAGAAAUUCGUGUGAAUAUUUCUAAAGACUUUUUCGUGUGAGAUACUUAAUACUAAUUAUUUGACUAAUUCGCAGCCACAUGGCAAUUGGAAAUCGUGGAAUUGUAUUUUCGUAAUCAUCACUAAAUAUAUGCAGAUCUAAAAUUUGACGUUUGGGUAAUAUGGAUCUAUAAACAAGCUUUUGGAUAAUAAAUCGUGAAUUGCGAAGUUUGAAUGUAAUAUCCAAGAACAAUUAAUUACUGUUAUAAAACAUGUGUGAGGAAACACUAUCGUUUAAACGUGGAAAUGCUUUUCAACGAUUUUGUAUUUUUGCUCCAACUAUGAAAAUUCGAUCUCUCUGUAAUGUCGACAUCCGUCCGCAAAGGGUUAAUCUACUGUUAUCAAGCUCGCUAUAUGUAUGUUCUCUUUAGAUCAUGCAAAUACGCAUAGAACAAUAUCACACCAGGCAAAUUUGUAUAUUAUAAGAAUAUAGUAAAUGAGGUGUAACUUCAUUCUCCUUUAUACGCCCAGUUGCCUAAUAACGAAAUUGAUAUUUAUACAUCUAAAAGUAAGCAAUCUCUUGCACCAUGCAUUCUGUUACAGCAGCAAAAAAACCUCGUGUUCAACUAACGAUAAAUUUGCUUCGCGGAGAGGACAAUAUUUAUUUGCAAUUUAAAAUUAUACACCGCGGCCUCUCUUCUUCUUUAACUAUUUUUAACGAAGUCAUCGGUGCAAAAGGGCUCUGCACACUCUUGCCGUAUAAAAGUGAAAUACCUUAAAGCUCUGAGGUAAAUUUAGCCGAAGCCUGAGCUCUCGGAGUAUUCUUUAUGAAUUUCAUAAAUGACCAACGGCGAAACCUGUUGACGCUUGAAUUAAUAACGAGAACUAACGAUUAGAUAUCAUGCCGCCGAUUAAAGGAGUAUAAAUGAACC